GACGAACGCUGGCGGCGUGCCUAACACAUGCAAGUCGAACGAAGCUUGACGAAUGAUUCUUCGGAUGAAUUCCGAUAUGACUGAGUGGCGGACGGGUGAGUAACGCGUGAGGAACCUGCCCUUCAGAGGGGGAUAGCGUCUGGAAACGGACGGUAAUACCGCAUAAAGUAUAAUUGUGGCAUCACAGAUAUACCAAAGCUAUUGCGCUGAAGGAUGGCCUCGCGUCUGAUUAGAUAGUUGGUGGGGUAACGGCCUACCAAGUCGACGAUCAGUAGCCGGACUGAGAGGUUGAACGGCCACAUUGGGACUGAGACACGGCCCAGACUCCUACGGGAGGCAGCAGUGGGGAAUAUUGCACAAUGGGCGCAAGCCUGAUGCAGCAACGCCGCGUGAAGGAAGACGGUUUUCGGAUUGUAAACUUCUGUUCUUAGUGAAGAAUAAUGACGGUAGCUAAGGAGCAAGCCACGGCUAACUACGUGCCAGCAG
rnacentral:rRNA from 1 species